ACGCUUGGGUUUUAACCCCGGCUAAACUUACACAAGAACAAUUUCAGUAAACCAUUUUCUCAUACCUGUCUCAUUCUAAGACUGUAUUUACUGUAUAUUUAAAAUGAUAUAGUUCAUUUAAGGAAUUCAAGAGCUGCCCUUAACCUUGUGUUAAAAGUGAGUUUCAAGAAGAAAGAAAACAUCUUCCUACAGGGAAAUUAUUGUCGGUGAUAAUCACCCACAGAAUCCAGAUGCAGUGUUGAGAGAUUAGUUAGUAAAACUCGGAGUGUUCCUUUAAAGCUCCCAUUCCCAUAUUAGGAUUAACUGGACUAACCCUAAUUAGGGUUAGUGCUUAAGGUGCCUGCUCUUUCCUAACAUCUCUAAUGCCAGACUAUUAGGAAUGACAGAUCCGUCCCCCUCUCUCCCCCUCCCUCACUGCUUCUUCACUCGAGUGCAUUAGGCCUGGGUGUGAGCUCUGCUCCUCUUUUGGUGCUGAAAGCCUGGAUGAUUGGAGACCCAGAUUUCUGAAGCACCAUGAAAAGAUCAGCAGUUCAAAGAGGCCAAGCUGACAGAGUGGCAGUCUCACAAGGGCGGCCUCACAACCCCUCGGCAAUACACUCAGAUCCUGCCUGAGGGAGGCAUUGUCCUCAACCAACACAGAAAGAAAGAUUCCUGUUGGAACAUCUGUCAUCGUCUUUGAUGAAGGCAGGCAUGUUGACACAAACAUACUCCUGUACAGUCAUUCACACACACACACACACAAACACACACACACACACACGUGUUGACAUACACAUGCUCAAAUACACACAUGCUUUCACACACUGCUCACACAUACACACAUACAUACAUACCCACACAUACAUACACACCCACACACACAUACACACCCACACACACACACACACUCACUGCUACCAGGACCUGCCAGACUGGAUUCUCCACACGUGUUCUGAAUUCAGAUCCUGACAAUGACCAGGAGUCCAAGAGAGCAACACUACUAAAUAGCAGGCUUCUUCAAGUUCAUGUAUGUGAAAGAGGGCAGAAAGCACUUUCCUCUGAGUGUGUUGUGUUCGGCUGCCUUGUGAAGCAGCAUGAGCAGCAGUUUGAAGUGAAAUGGCAGACUGGAUUCAUGUGUCUUUGAGGAAACGUGUACACCUUCCUGGUUGCAAAUUUUCAACACUACUGCGGAUUUGGCCCUAGACACGUUGUGUGACGUCACAACUUGCAUUCAACUGAAGCCUUCCUCCGUUCACUUGCAUCGAACGUGAGUAUAGCUAUCAAAGAAAGUAAUUACAAAAGGGUCUUCACUGGAAGGAGUGAGGGACUAGUGAAGAAAUGGGGCAAGUUUUCUUACAUAAAUAUUGUUUAAAGUUAAGUCGCAAACUCUAAAUACAGCGCAGUGAUUGCACACUAUCCUCCCGAGCUCAGCAGAAGGAUGAUGGGAUACGUAGACCAGGUGAACCCACACCACUAGCAGUAGCAGGACUGGCAGGAAUGAGUCAUGACCACACUGUAAUUCUUCAGAAAGCAAAGCAAGAUGAAAAACCUGCUCUUGCGGUAAAUAGCUAAUUAUGCAUCACUGAUCUCAUUCUUCGCACAUUAGAUGGCGAGCAUCAUCCGAGUACUGAGCGGAAAAAAAAAACAGUGCGGGGGGGAAGAAAUGUGAGGGUUAAAAGAAAAGCUGUAUGUUGUGCUGGUGUGUGGUGUGUUUCCUCUCCAUGCCUACACCCUGAUGACAGCAUCCACCUCCACCCAGAGACAUCAACUGCAAUCUGUCAGCCAUUCUGUCAGUUAAGAAAUGACAUUUCUUAUUUUUCUUUUUUUGAAAUUAUACAUGUUACAUAUUUGGCUUUGAGAGUGACUCCGGUUUAUUUAGAAGACUGACUGAACUUCCAAGCCAAAUAAAUGUCUCACAGCAAAUUACUGAGUGAAACUAAA